rnacentral:tRNA from 1 species
UGGCUCAGUUGUUAGAGCAUGGUGUGUGCAACGCCAGGGUUGUGGGUUCGAUUCCCAU